rnacentral:rRNA from 1 species
CAGUAGCCGCGGUAAUACGGAGGGAGCUAGCGUUGUUCGGAAUUACUGGGCGUAAAGCGCACGUAGGCGGCUUUGUAAGUUAGAGGUGAAAGCCUGGAGCUCAACUCCAGAAUUGCCUUUAAGACUGCAUCGCUUGAAUCCAGGAGAGGUGAGUGGAAUUCCGAGUGUAGAGGUGAAAUUCGUAGAUAUUCGGAAGAACACCAGUGGCGAAGGCGGCUCACUGGACUGGUAUUGACGCUGAGGUGCGAAAGCGUGGGGAGCAAACAGGAUUAGAGACCCCGGUAGUCCCUGUCUCUUAUAC